GCUGAAGGAAAGCCUGCAGGUUUCCGCUUCCUCUGGUGAGAUGCGGGUCCGCCCUCAGAAUUGCACGGUGGCGGCAGGGCUGUUCACUGGCGAGCGGAGAGAAAAGGGAAGAUAUUCUGAUUCAGCCCUGACUCAGACUCCUUGUCACGGAUGGAGGCGCUUGAACCCACACAAGCAGAAAAACCAGCUCGAUAGUGACCCAGACGGACGAGGUGACGGAGGGCCACGUGCAGAUGGCCAGGCAGGCUCCUCACCACUGACCUCUGGACGAGACGACGUGACGUGUCUCCCUCCUCGAAGCUGUACCUCCAAGAGCAAGACAAGAGGAAACGAGAUUUCUGUCGCGCUGAGUCGGCGUUAUGCACAGCUCUCUCAUUGAAUCCUUGUAUCAACCCUGGGGGCAAAUUUCCUCAGCCAGGAAGACUCUGCAGGGCACCAACUCUUCCCUGAACUUGGUGCUCAUUCCCACCUGGGUCCUCACGGAGCGGCCUGAGGAAUGCAACCCAGCACACCCCGUGAGCCCGCUGGAGCGCCCGGAACCAAAGGAAUGUGGAAGAGGGACAACCCCCUUCCAGCUCGCCCUCGACCUGUCUGGUCUUGGGGACGGACCGUGAUGUGCAUCGUGAUCCUGUAGCACCGAGUGCGUACAGGCAAGUCAGGACAGCCACCUGGGUCACCUCCUGUGAUCCACGUGCCAGUGGGAGGAGGGAGGCGGAUGGGCUGAGGCGUCUGAAGCCAACGUGCCAAGGACCUUGACGAGUUCUGGGUGCACAGGCGUGUCCUGCCAGGCGGAGCAAAGAUAGCAGGAAACUUCGCAGAGAAUUUGGCGAGAAGUCCAGUAGAAGUGAUCCUUGGUGCCCCUCCUCCACCUCCUCCCAGCCUCUUUAUUUAUCCAUUUUUACCUUCUAGACAUAACGGACAUUUUUACAAAGGCUACACGUUGUAUUUGCCAGGUUUUGAUUGAAGCGUGAUUUGCAGGACAUGAAAAACACAGAUCCUGAACGUCCAGUAGGAUGAGUUGACAAAUGCGUUCACCUGUCACCCACAUCGCCAUAAGAUAUGGGAUGUCUCUACGGAGCCCCGAGCUUCCCCUUCGACUCUCUGCAACUCACUCCCCACCCGGCUGGAUUCUGCUCAUGAUCUGGCCGUGAGGUCAGGACAAGUCCCUAGCAAGGCAAAGACCCUACGUUUCGUAAUCUGAUCAGUGUGUUCCUAUAUUUUACUACCAGUAGUUCUGAACUAUCAGCUCACACAGCCUUCUAUUGUGGUUUCUUUUUCUUUCUUUUUUUAAAUUUUUUUAAAUGUUUUUAUUUAUUUUUGAGACAGAGAGAGACAGAGCAUGAGCAGGAGAGGGGCAGAGAGAGAGGGAGACACAGAAUCCGAAGCAGGCUCCAGGCUCUGAGCUGUCAGCACAGAGCCCGACGCGGGCCUCGAACUCACGGACCGCGAGAUCGUGACCCGAGCUGAAGUUGGACUCUUAACCGACUGAGCCACCUAGGCGCCCCGGUUUAUUUUUAAAUAAUAGUUCCCUACAACCUUUGGUGCAACAGUGGGCAUUAGCCCCCCAGGAAGAGCGAACCCUGUUCCCUGGCUCAAGACAGGGAGGGAGGCACACGUGACCUGUCUUGUGCUUGGCCCAGUGCAGGGACUCCAUAAAUUUCCUUGAAACCGUGACUAAGAGCCAACGCUGAGAACAAAGAAGGGCUUAAUCAUUUACUGGGCUCAGACCUUGCGGCUCACCUCUGGUGGUGAACCGAGAGUCAGAGGCAUCGCCCGGGCGGCAAGCAGGAGUCCCGGCUUGUGCAGCAUGAGCACGGAGUCUGGGAAGGGUGAGAAGGCUGUGUUUGUCACGAGCUGGUGAGCCGCUGAAGUAAGGCAUGCGGUCUCCUGCCCUCACACAGAGGAGGGUCUGCUGCUUGGACACUUGGGGCUUGGCUGACCCUGGAGGGCCUGUCCCUACUCCAAACGCUUUCGUGUGCGAGCCCACCAGACCAGAGCCCACAGCCCAGCCACCUCCAUCAUCAGACUCACACUCGGGGCCACUGUGCACCUGCUGUAUUAACCCCAGGGUAGGGGCCAGACAAGGAGGGUCCUAGAGCCCACUGGUUAUUCAGACCACCCAGUCCUAAACCUGUGUCCCCCACCUCACCCACUCCUUCCCGUGGGAACCACCACAAAAACCCGUGCCCACAGUCCCCUGCACCUCUGCCCACUGACUGGCCCUGCUCCCCUCAUGGCACAAGGGAUGCCCUCUUCCUUUUGGGAAUAGUAAUAAAACUUUGUUUACGAUGGCACUCAUCUCCUGAUCAGUUGACCUCAUCAUUCCUGAAUAAUAUUAAAACCUACCUUUUAAAAACAUGGAUGUAAACCAACUAUUCAUUUGCCCCUGGUUCCCCCACUUUGGAAGGGCUGGAGCUCAGGGGGAAGCUGUGACUGGCACACAUUCUGCUCCAGGGAACAGCAGCAUAAGGUUUGUGGAGGUGGCCGAAAUCAUGGCAAAGGAAAGCCCUGUGCCAGACAAGUAGCUGAGGGCAGCUGUCUCCUGGGACUCUCUCCAGUGGGCUGAGGGAGGCCGGAGAGACUUUCCCAGGAAUGGGCUAUUCCCACUUAGCUCUUAAAGGCAGAGACAGCAGAGAAAACCACAGAAGGAUGAGUAGUCAAAUUCUGGUUAAAACGGCCAUGGGACUUUGUGGGCUUUACACAUUCUUCGAGGAGCUCCGGGUCCGAGGCAAUACAGUAGGUGGCAGCAGCCAUGAUGAUGUCAUAGUAGUGACAGUAACAAACACCCAAUGCAAGCAUUCUGCCUGCCCUGUGCCAGACCCAUGCUAACACCACCCCCCUAUGGUGGCAACUCGUUACUACUGUUAAUAGUAACUAGGUGCUAUAUUAUUCCCUUUUACGAGGAGGGAAACAGAAGCACAGAGAUGGCAGUGAUCUGUUCAAGUGCACGCAAUGAAGGAAAAGCUGGGCUCUGAGCCCAGAAUGGUGCCAUCCGCUUGUCUGCUCUGGAAGAUCGGGGCUUCUCACACACAAGGCUUAGUCUGUGCUCGCAAUUUUAAACAUUUGAGUCCGAACUUCAGUGGAACGAAUGGAGAAUUGCUAAAUGGCUUUAAUCCUCAAGUUUUUAGACUUGCUUUUAUCUUGAAAAGCUUGUGGGGCUGGCCCACGAUGCCCAGGGGAACAUGUUUUAACAGAAUUGCAGGUUGGAGCCAUGUAAUAUGAAGGUGGAAUUUCAACAGGGAUGUGGUCCGUUGAGCAGGUAGACGGUCCCAGCUGGAACCACAGUCCCUGCCCUCACAGAAGUUGGAGGCUGUGGAAGCAGGACUGAACAAGGAGACACAUAAACAGGACCAUUUCAGAUGCUGGCCAAGUGUCCUGAAAGAAACAAGCAGAGAGAUGUGAUAGAGGAUCCUGGGUGUGCAUGCACGUGGCGCUUAAGGUCCCAUGAAUUUUUUUUUAAAGUUUGUGUAUUUUGAGAGCAAGAGAGAGAGUGUGUAAGUGGGGGAGGGGCAGAGAGAGAAGGAGGGGGAGAGAAUGAAUCCCAAGCAGGUUCCACGGUGCUGUCCGCACAGAGCCCAAUGUGGGGCUCGAACCCACGAACCGUGAGAUCUUGACUUGAGCCGAAAUCAAGAUCAGACCCUCAAACGACUGAGCCACCCAGGCGCCCCAAGGUCCAAUGAACUUAAGUCAAUAUAUGGAGAAUUCCUCCCUGAAUGAAUACUUGGCUGCUGGCUGGCAGGCGGGAGAAGGGAAGUCUAGGGGGACGCUACUGUGCACACGUGGUCAAGGACGGGAGACUUUCAUCCUGCAGCACAAGGUGUGUAAAUUUUGGCACCCAGGGUGGUCCAGGAACUCCAGCAAAACCCGGUCCCAUCUGGAGGGUCCCAGUCCUUCCUCCCAACAUGACAGGUAAUUUACACCUUGUCCACAGGCUGCUCUAACGUAGGAUGCCCCAAAUGGAGCCAGCACCUUACUUCCCAAAUCUCUUGCCACCCCUUUCCCCAAGCCCCAGACUUCAUGGAGGACGUGACCACACACCUGGGUAUGAGUCACCAUCAAUGCCUUUCUCUCUCUCACCUCCCAGUUCAAGCCAUGACUGAUUCCUGUUUAUCGUGUCUCCCGAUGGUUCUGGGAUCUGUCCCAGCCUCCCCAUCUAUAAGGGACAGACUCUACUACCUAGUUGGGAAGUUUGUCUUGCAAGAACCAUUGUACUUUGUAGACUAACUCAGGGGUAUUUCUGGAUUAAAGACUUAAAUAAUGUUUGUCUCUCACUAUAGAACUUGUGAAAAGCAUUUGGGGGUAAGGAGGACAGAGGCAGGACAGCACUUCCCCGGGACAAUUUUUGGGAGAGUCUGUGGUAGUGGUGUGGGCAUGUUUCACGGCCCCUGGAAAGGUGGCACCCUUAAGCAGCACCCCUUUCACGUUGCACAUGCUGUUGGACUAUAGACUCUUCCUGAAGAAUUUGCUCUUGUCCAAAGCCAAGGCCAGUGCUCUGAACUGAGCAGUGAGGCCCCUGAGUGAUGGCAUCUGUAUCAGCUAGCAGAACUGCAUAACGAAGUCCCAGAGACUGGGGGGCUUAAACAACAGAAAUUUAUUUUCUUGAAGUUCUGAUGGAGGUCUGGGGUUGCAGGGCUGUUUCCUUCUGGGAGCAUUGAGGGAAGUAUCUGCUCCAGGCCUCACUCCUUGGUUUGUAGACGACGUCUUGCCCCAAGUCUGCACAUGCUUUUCCUUCUGAAUGUGUCAGUGUCCUAAUCUCUUAGAAGGACAUCAGCCAUAUUGGAUUAGCACCCACCCUGAUGGCCUCAUUUUAACUUAAUUCCCUCUUCAAAGACUGUAAGUAGUCACAUUAUGAAGUGUUGGGAGUUAGGACUUCAACAUAUGAAUUUGGGGAGAACACAGUGUAGACCACAAGAGUAUCAUCGAGGAAACCCUGGUGGCCGGUGUGGCUGGAACAGAACAACUGAAGUAGAGAGGUGGGAGGUGAGGCCAGAGGUAGCUAUGAGCCAGUCUCACAGUCCCUACAGCUUGUGGUAACUACUUGAGAUGUGAAGAGGGAUGGGAAACCAUUUUAAAGUUUUGAGGAGGGAAGUGAUGUGAUCUCACUGUGCCUGCUGUAUGGGAGAUGGGCAACAGUGGCCCCCAGUGUCACCCCGGAGAGCAGUGAUGGUAAUUACAGCAGCCCAGGGGAGAAGUGAUGGCAGUGGCAGGUAAACGUCCAAUUCAGGGUUUAUUUUGCAGGUAGAGGCAGUGGCACUUGCCGAUGGAGAAUGUGGGAUGAGAGGGAUUAGAAAAAUAUUUUUUGGUCAUGCCCAGCUGUGGGAGUGGUGGCUUCACAGCCUGAGAUGUGGCCUCCAGGGGAGGGGUGAGCUGGGGAGACGCAGGGCCAGGAGUUUACUUUCAGGCACCAGGAGUGAGAUUCUCAGGACUGUAUCAAGAAAAGAUGUGCUUGAGACUGGAUUCAGCGGGGUGGCUGGAGCUGAUGAUACAAAUGUGUAAGUCAUUCCAAAAUUGACCACUUUGGGGCACCUGAGUGGCUCAGUUGGUUAAGUGUCUGACUUCAGCUCAGGUCAUGAUAUCAUAGUUUGUGAGUUCGAGCCCUGCGUUGGGCUCUGUGCUGACAGCUCAGAGCCUAAAGCCUGCUUCGGAUUCUGUGUCUCCUUCUCUCUCUGCCCCUCCUCCACUUGUGCUCUGUCUCUCAAAAAAUAAAUAAAUGUAAAAAAAAAAAUUCAAAAUUGACAGUCUUUAGCACCCUAAAUUCAAGAAAGGUUAUCUAGGCAAUGAAACUUGUUAGAAAAGAUUGACAUUUGAAUGAUAUUUGAUCAGUGCCGGAAUGUAUAUGGACUUUGGGGUUCAGAAUUUAAUAUUCAAGGACACUGUGGGGGCUGAGAACUUUUGGCGGGAUGUAUAGAAGUCCUCAGUGGUUGUCACCUGCUGCCCGGGGGAAACUGUAUAUUAACAUCUUGCCAGAACUCCAUUUCUGCUCUGUUCCUCCCCUACCCUAGCAACAUCUCAUUUAGGUAUACCGAGGGCAACACCCUAAUUCUGAGAGUCCUCUGCAGAUUAGCAAUUCUGAGGGAGACUAAGUCAGAGCCUGGACAGCCUGCACACUUCCUGCAAGGUGGAAAGCAGGCAGUUUUUCUAUUUUUUCCCAAUCUACUUUGUGAAGUAGCCUCUUUCUGUCUUCAAGCCAAGAUGCUAUAGCGAGGUGAGUGGUUUGUUCCUGGGUGAAUUCAAACUGUCUUUAUCUUUCCUAAACAUUUUUAUUGGGCAAAAUAAAAGAGGAACAGUCUUAUUUGCAUCAUAAUAAACUUGGUAUAGGUGGCAGGGGACGUUCUCCUUGACACUUCCUGGCUUCCUGACUGUUCAGGCUCCACACCAGAUCUGAGCCCCAUCCCCAGACUUCUGUGGGAAGCCAGAUCAGAGUGUGAAUCUACUCAUGGGGAUUGGAGAAGACCCCAGGGGUUGUCCCAUAACCCCUGCUGAGGCUCAGAGAAGGGAGCUGACCUGCCCGUCCCAUUAUGGGGAGAGGGAGUGUGAGCCACAUGAUCAGAAUCGGUGCUGUCGCGUACUAGCUUUGAGACCCUGGGCAAGCCCCUCAAACUUUCUGUUUCUUGGUUUCCAAAUUCUCAAAAGAAGGAUACAGACAAUAGUUCUUCUAUGAUAACGGUAGCUCCUUCACAGGAUCAUUUGAGGAUUAAAAGAGAUAAUGGUGGUGAGGUUCUUAGCACAGCUGGGGCAUCCAGAUGGUAGUCCUGGAGGUUCCGUCAUCAUUUUAGGAGACUUUUGAGGUCUUUGUGCCCCAGCUCGGAUGUUCUUGCACACACCAUCCUUCUGUGAGUCGUACUUAGAUCUAAUCCCUAAAGGCAGGGCUCCUUACAGAUGUAUUAGGGUGGUGUUCUGGCCACAGGCUAUGCAGUCGGCCAGGCCAGUGCUGUUGUUCCACAUUGUAUAAAUGACACCUGCCCUUGUCACUACUGUGUGACAGGAUCAUAAGCAGUGGGCAGAAGCCUAGCGUGGGCCCUAGAUACUGACUUGGGGCUUAGGAAGUUCAACAUAAUUCACAUACCUCCAAUGACACAUCUUUAUUGAAAUGCCAGAAUUCUGUGUAACACUAAGAAUGAUACAACAAAAUAAAAAGAUGUAUGGUCUCUGC